rnacentral:rRNA from 1 species
UACAAUAAGCGGAGGAAAAGAAACCAACAGGGAUUGCCUUAGUAGCGGCGAGUGAAGCGGCAAAAGCUCAAAUUUGAAAUCUGGCUCUUUCAGAGUCCGAGUUGUAAUUUGAAGAAGGUAUCUUUGGGUCUGGCUCUUGUCUAUGUUUCUUGGAACAGAACGUCACAGAGGGUGAGAAUCCCGUGCGAUGAGAUGAUCCAGGCCUAUGUAAAGUUCCUUCGAAGAGUCGAGUUGUUUGGGAAUGCAGCUCUAAGUGGGUGGUAAAUUCCAUCUAAAGCUAAAUAUUGGCGAGAGACCGAUAGCGAACAAGUACAGUGAUGGAAAGAUGAAAAGAACUUUGAAAAGAGAGUGAAAAAGUACGUGAAAUUGUUGAAAGGGAAGGGCUUGAGAUCAGACUUGGUAUUUUGUAUGUUACUUCUUCGGGGGUGGCCUCUACAGUUUAUCGGGCCAGCAUCAGUUUGGGCGGUAGGAGAAUUGCGUUGGAAUGUGGCACGGCUUCGGUUGUGUGUUAUAGCCUUCGUCGAUACUGCCAGCCUAGACUGAGGAAUGCGGUUCAUG